UGCCCUAGUAACGGCGAGUGAAGCGGCAACAGCUCAAAUUUGAAAUCUGGCCCUCGGGUCCGAGUUGUAAUUUGUAGAGGAUGCUUUUGGUGCGGUGCCUUCCGAGUUCCCUGGAACGGGACGCCAUAGAGGGUGAGAGCCCCGUCUGGUCGGACGCCAAUCCUCUGUAAAGCUCCUUCGACGAGUCGAGUAGUUUGGGAAUGCUGCUCUAAAUGGGAGGUAUAUGUCUUCUAAAGCUAAAUACCGGCCAGAGACCGAUAGCGCACAAGUAGAGUGAUCGAAAGAUGAAAAGCACUUUGAAAAGAGAGUUAAAAAGUACGUGAAAUUGUUGAAAGGGAAGCGCUUGUGACCAGACUUGGGCUCGGUUGAUCAUCCAGGGUUCUCCCCGGUGCACUCUUCCAGCCCAGGCCAGCAUCAGUUCGCCGCGGGGGAUAAAGGCUUCGGGAAUGUGGCUCCCUCGGGAGUGUUAUAGCCCGCUGCGCAAUAUCCUGCGGCGGACUGAGGUUCGCGCUCCGCAAGGAUGCUGGCGUAAUGGUCACCAGUGACCCGUCUUGAAACACGGACCAAGGAGUCGUCUUCGUAUGCGAGUGUUCGGGUGUCAAACCCCUACGCGGAAUGAAAGUGAACGCAGGUGAGAGCUUCGGCGCAUCACCGACCGAUCCUGAUGUUCUCGGAUGGAUUUGAGUAAGAGCAUACGGGGCCGGACCCGAAAGAAGGUGAACUAUGCCUGUAUAGGGUGAAGCCAGAGGAAACUCUGGUGGAGGCUCGCAGCGGUUCUGACGUGCAAAUCGAUCGUCAAAUAUGGGCAUGGGGGCGAAAGACUAAUCGAACCUUCUAGUAGCUGGUUUCCGCCGAAGUUUCCCUCAGGAUAGCAGUGUUGAACUCAGUUUUAUGAGGUAAAGCGAAUGAUUAGGGACUCGGGGGCGCUAUUUAGCCUUCAUCCAUUCUCAAACUUUAAAUAUGUAAGAAGCCCUUGUUGCUUAGUUGAACGUGGGCAUUCGAAUGUAUCAACACUAGUGGGCCAUUUUUGGUAAGCAGAACUGGCGAUGCGGGAUGAACCGAACGCGAGGUUAAGGUGCCAGAGUAGACGCUCAUCAGACACCACAAAAGGUGUUAGUACAUCUUGACAGCAGGACGGUGGCCAUGGAAGUCGGAAUCCGCUAAGGACUGUGUAACAACUCACCUGCCGAAUGUACUAGCCCUGAAAAUGGAUGGCGCUCAAGCGUCUCACCCAUACCUCGCCCUCAGGGUAGAAACGAUGCCCUGAGGAGUAGGCGGACGUAGAGGUCAGUGACGAAGCCUAGG
rnacentral:rRNA from 1 species